GAAUAUUGGACAAUGGGGGCAACCCUGAUCCAGCCAUGCCGCGUGUGUGAAGAAGGCUUUCGGGUUGUAAAGCACUUUCAGUGAGGAGGAAAAGUGGGUCCCUAAUACGGGCUCGCCUUGACGUUACCCACAGUAGAAGCACCGGCUAACCCCGUGCCAGCAGCCGCGGUAAUACGGAGGGUGCAAGCGUUAAUCGGAAUUACUGGGCGUAAAGCGCGCGUAGGUGGUUUGAUAAGCGAGAUGUGAAAGCCCCGGGCUUAACCUGGGAACGGCAUUUCGAACUGUCAGGCUAGAGUGUGGUAGAGGGUAGUGGAAUUUCCUGUGUAGCGGUGAAAUGCGUAGAUAUAGGAAGGAACACCAGUGGCGAAGGCGGCUACCUGGACCAACACUGACACUGAGGUGCGAAAGCGUGGGGAGCAAACAGG
rnacentral:rRNA from 1 species